CCACCGCCACCCCCUGCUUCCACACGCCACCGCCGCCCCCCUGCUUACACAUGCUGCCGCCGGCCCUGUUGCUUCUAGCCGCCACUGUUGGGAGCCACCAUAGCGCCACCAAUCGCCACGACCAGCCGUCCCGACCUCUGCCUUGGCUACCUAGCCCCACCCCCGCAGCAAGCCGUCGCUUCGUGUCACCGCAUCCGGUGGCCACAGCGCGCCGUCCAACUCGGCAAUCCAACUGCUUGCUCCACGGUCGGUCUCUCAAGUAGCUGCGUGCAGGCAAACAUCUCCAUGGGCGACAAGUUCUUCUUUCACAACUUGUUGCUGUUGCUGCACCUUCUCCUUCGACCAGGCUAAGUAAAUUUUCCAGCGACACACCGCGCCCUCGCCUCCCACCUCCGCGAUGGACCAUGGAUCUGCCUUCGUAGGGGCGGGCGGUGGUGGGAAGGAGGAGCAUCGACAACAACCACCUCCACACCUUCCUGCUCCUCCCCGCCGUGCGACGACCACCUCUGUCGCCUCGGGAUCCCUGCUGCUUGCAUUCAAAACAAGAUAAAAGAGAGUGUGGAGGGGCAAGUUGCUCCGCGACUGAGGAAGGCGCACCCCGGGGCUUGCCAUGGCUAAAGACAGCCUCCAACCGCGGGGGCCAAAGCAGUCAGCCUUUGUUCGCAUGUGCAUCUCCAUCCUGCUUCACCUAGCAGUCCUACUUCUCCAUGAUGACAAGGAUGACGUCGCCAUGCGUGCACACUGCAACAUGUCCCCUGUCACAGCCCCACCACUCGUUGCUGAUCCGCUCCACCCCGAGGACCUCCACGAUGGAGGUUGCCUCGCAGCCUAGCGACGAGAAUCAAAGAAGGUAGUGAGAUGUACUAGUAGAAGAGGAAGAAGUAAUGUGAAUAAAUGAGAUAAAUGUGAGAAGACCAAGUACAAAAGUGUGAGAGGGAUUCAGAUUUUUUUCAGAUUCUUGCUGUACACAUACCUUUGGUAUGUAGAUGCACUGUAAUGUAUCUAGAAAGUAUGAAUGGUUAAUACCUCAAUGGUGCACUAUGCAUCUUUGGCAGUUUUUAUGCAUU